rnacentral:rRNA from 1 species
CCUACGAGAGGCAGCAGUAGGGAAUUUUCGGCAAUGGGGGGAACCCUGCACGAGCAACGCCGCGUGAACGAAGAAGUUAUUCGUAAUGUAAAGUUCUUUUAACAGGGAAGAAAGAGAAAUUUGACGGUACCUGAAGAAUAAUCUCCGGCUAACUACGUGCCAGCAGCCGCGUUAAGCCGUAGGGAGCGAUCGUUAUCCGGAUGUAUUGGUCGUAAAGGAGGAGUAGAUGGCAUAGUAAGUCUUUUAUAAAAAUGGUGGGCUCAACCCAGUAGGGCAAAAGAUACUGCAAAGCUAGAGUAUGACAGAGGCAAGUGGAACGACAUGUGGAGCGGUAAAAUGCGUAAAUAUAUGUAAGAACACCAGUGGCGAAGGCGGCUUGCUGGGUCGAUACUGACAUUGAGGCACGAAAGCGUGGGGAGCAAACAGGAGUAGAUACCCGAGUAGUC